rnacentral:rRNA from 1 species
ACGCUCGACACCUACGGGAAGCAGCAGUGGGGAAUAUUGCACAAUGGGGGAAACCCUGAUGCAGCGACGCCGCGUGAAGGAAGAAGUAUCUCGGUAUGUAAACUUCUAUCAGCAGGGAAGAAAGUGACGGUACCUGACUAAGAAGCCCCGGCUAACUACGUGCCUGCAGCCGCGGUAAUCUGAGCGGGCUGGCAAGGC